rnacentral:rRNA from 1 species
CCUACGGGUGGCAGCAGUGGGGAAUAUUGGACAAUGGGGGAAACCCUGAUCCAGCGACGCCGCGUGACUGAAGAAGUAUUUCGGUAUGUAAAGGUCUAUCAGCAGGGAAGAAAAUGACGGUACCUGACUAAGAAGCCCCGGCUAACUACGUGCCAGCAGCCGCGGUAAUACGUAGGGGGCAAGCGUUAUCCGGAUUUACUGGGUGUAAAGGGAGCGUAGACGGUUCUGCAAGUCUGGAGUGAAAGCCCGGGGCUCAACCCCGGGACUGCUUUGGAAACUGUGGAACUGGAGUGCAGGAGAGGUAAGUGGAAUUCCUAGUGUAGCGGUGAAAUGCGUAGAUAUUAGGAGGAACACCAGUGGCGAAGGCGGCUUACUGGACUGUAACUGACGUUGAGGCUCGAAAGCGUGGGGAGCAAACAGGAUUAGAUACCCCUGUAG